CCACAGCCAUGAGUGGGCCAUGCUUUCACCAGGUGCUUUCACAGGGGAAGGACUUGCGUUCCACCGCUCAUCUGAAGUAAUUCUAAUUCUCCGGUUGGAACGUUAUUCAAGAUAUUUGUAAACAACAUUCUAAAGAUUGAUUCAGUACAUCAUUUGACAAGUUUCUACUGACUGUUACGGAACUUUUGGACAUUUUGUCACGUUAUAGUGGACGCGCUUUGUGACUUUGGAAUUGUUUAACAAAAGCGCUAACCAAAGUAGCUAAUUGGACAUAAAUAACGGACAUUUUCGAACAAAUCAAGCAUUUAUUGUGGACCUGGGAUUUCUAGGACUGCAUUCUGAUGAAGUUCAUCAAAGGCAAAAUGCUGUGGAGAGGAGACAUAUGACCCUCAGGAUUAAAUCUGCUGCAAAGGACACAAGCUUCUUUUUUACUUAUUUGGACUUUAUAUGGAGGUUGGCAACUAACUUUACAGUGCAUUACUACAACCGACUGGAGUGUGGACGUCAGUUCAUCUUUCAAUCGCCCACGUGGGUAUAUGCUCUUAAAAACCAAUGAGGAGAUGGGAAGGCCGGACUUUCAGCGCGUUGAACAUCACAACCUAUUUCUAUUUUAGCGCCAUGCUACGCAGACGCUCGCGUCCCAGUGUGGGUGCAAUGACUGGAUAACAUUUGUACAUUUAUUUUGUAGGAUGUUAGUUGUCAGCAUGUUAGUGUUUGUUGUAUUUCAAGUGUACUGUGACUCUGCGGAUAUCGUUUCUCAGUAAAGUAUUAUGUUUAUCCACUGAUCCCUCAUUUGGUCUCUUCUCUGCACCUGGGUCCAACAACACCACGUCACAAAAAGAAUGGGAAUUAUGAGCCACGUGUAUUUCGCUUGUGUCUAAUUUCUAGGCAUGACACAUGUAGCAAAAUAAAUACAUCCCAAAAUAAAUGUUUAACCGUUACUGAGGUUGAUAUAUUUGAAGUCAGAAGUUUACAUACACCUUAGCCAAAAAUAUUUAAACUCAGUUUUCACAAUUCCUGAC
ensembl:lncRNA